UACGUAGGAAGCGAGCGUUGUCCGGAUUCAUUGGGCGUAAAGAGCUCGUAGGCGGCUUGGCAAGUCGGGUGUGAAAACUCCAGGCUCAACCUGGAGACGCCACCCGAUACUGCCAUGGCUAGAGUCCGGUAGGGGACCACGGAAUUCCUGGUGUAGCGGUGAAAUGCGCAGAUAUCAGGAGGAACACCGGUGGCGAAGGCGGUGGUCUGGGCCGGAACUGACGCUGAGGAGCGAAAGCGUGGGGAGCGAACAGG
rnacentral:rRNA from 1 species